rnacentral:misc_RNA from 1 species
AGAUGGCCAAGAUCUCGGUGG